rnacentral:rRNA from 1 species
CAGUAGCCGCGGUAAUACGAAGGGGGCUAGCGUUGCUCGGAAUGACUGGGCGUAAAGGGCGCGUAGGCGGCGAUCAAAGUCAGGCGUGAAAUUCCUGGGCUCAACCUGGGGGCUGCGCUUGAUACUUGGUUGCUUGAGUGGGGAGGAGGGUCGUGGAAUUCCCAGUGUAGAGGUGAAAUUCGUAGAUAUUGGGAAGAACACCGGUGGCGAAGGCGGCGACCUGGUCCUUUACUGACGCUGAGGCGCGAAAGCGUGGGGAGCAAACAGGAUUAGAGACCCCCGUAGUCCUGUCUCUUAUACA